rnacentral:lncRNA from 1 species
UUUGUGUUUGACAAUACCUUCGGUCUUGUACCUACGUACCAAUAUAUAAAUGAGGGAUCAAAACCUCGUAGUUUGUGAUACAAAUUUCAAAAUGAGUGCACUGCUUUUAACAAAAUUUAAGUUUGAAAGGCACAAAGGCCUAAAAUGAAUUGGAUGAGUUAGUUCUUUUUGGCUUUUUUGAUGGUUUAAGUCAAGUAUAGUUAAGUUUAUUUACAAGUUUG